GUAUUUAGACAUCAAGAAAAGAAUCCCUCUAUCUGUGAACCACACUUGCCAGGAAAUUAACACCAGGGGAAUACCACCACCUCAUACUAUUUCUUAGGUGUCUCAGAGUUUGAUGAGGACUUCCAUGCUGUGUCUCUUCGACAGGCAGCAAAAUUGGGCAAUUGACUACAUCAACUCCAACAAAUUUAUGCAGCCACCUUCCUCCGGACCAUCCUGUUUCUUCGCGCUUUAGUUGCCCCUAUUUCCCAUUAUCUUGUUUGACGCCAAGGAGCCCAAGCCCAGAAACAAUGGCAUUCUUUGGUAUCAACCACCUGGAGACUUUGGUAUCAAGCCUGUUGUGCAAGGCUUCUUCAAAAGGUCAUCCGUUGAUCUUUCUCCUAAUUAGACAUUCAAAACCCUGCAUGGAAUCCAUUUGAGAAGUUGGACAAUAGACAAAGUCCAACACAUAUAGACAGUAAAGAAGAAUUCAGACCGCACUCACUGUGGCUGAACAAAUGGGCCUAUUAAGCCUAUUAAAAGUUGGAACCAUAUUCACCACUCGCAUUUCCUUAGAGAACUAUAUCAGAAUUCUGUAAAUUGAAAACUAUUCUUACAUAUUUAACUGUAAAACAAGAGAAAUUAUACUUCCGUAGCAAAGUCUCACUAUUGGUAAGUAUCUGGACUUGGAAAGGAUGCUAGUUGAUCAAGUAAAGGAAAAUUGACAUCAGACUUUGAUGUGAUAGAUAUAUACACUUCAAUAGGAACCACAUUAACAACUUAUGAGACAAACAAACAAAUUCCCCAGUCAAAGUUCAACAAACAAAACAUUAAAACAAGAGUAGGUUGGUCUAUCAAUGUAUAUAUAGAGAUGUCGAUCAAUUGACAAAUACAUCAAGAGUAGGUUGGUCUAUCAAUGUAUAUAUAGAGAUGUCGAUCAAUUGACAAAUACAUCAAGAGUAGGUUGGUCUAUCAAUGUAUAUAUAGAGAUGUCGAUCAAUUGACAAAUACAUCAAGAGUAGGUUGGUCUAUCAAUGUAUAUAUAGAGAUGUCGAUCAAUUGACAAAUACAUCAAGAGUAGGUUGGUCUAUCAAUGUAUAUAUAGAGAUGUCGAUCAAUUGACAAAUACAUCAAGAGUAGGUUGGUCUAUCAAUGUAUAUAUAGAGAUGGCGAAGAAUCUUGCAUCUUAUCAAGUGGGGAAAGCCUUCGCAACAAAGAUGCUGCUUGCUUUCAAGCAAUAAUAAUUUUCCAAUUCCAUAAGGUAGCUUAAUGCCUUUUAAGAAUAUCUGCACCAGCCUAACAAUUAAUCAUGGAAAUUCAAUUUGCAUUUAUCACCUUUAAUUUGCUCAUCUUUGUCUCGAGUAUUGUUUUUGCGUUAACUUAACUAGCUUGCAAACCACCUGCAAAUGGUUUUAAAUAAUGUGUGAGAUUGUGAGGUCGAACGAAUUAAUCAAAUAUGAUGACAGGAGAAACAAAAUUGAAAUAACCACAAGUAGAAGUAUACUUUUGUUAUAUUUAUAGCAUCUUCUACUGUCUUCUUUUCCUUUAGCUCUGUUUCUGUGUUUGCUCAAUCGCGAUGCCUCAAUCUUUUGCAGCCAUAUGCAGACUUGAAACACCGGGGUGUCCCUAAGGAACUUGAAAAUUAGAAAAGUUUCAGUAUGAGUGACUAAAUAUGAUAAUCGAAACUAAUUUAAUAUACACACCUUGUAAAUCUGAAACUAAAUUACUCAAAUGUAUAUGCCUCUUGGCAGCAAUUGCUCGUGGUGGAAAGUUUACUGCAAAGACUUCCUCAAACCUGUGAAGCUCACACACUUCCUGGCAACAAAGAAACAGAGUCAAUAUACGAAGAUGAUUUUACUAACAAGUGAGAGCUUGCAAAUAUUGGAAGGAUAACGAUUACUCAUAACCCAAAUACCCAAUACCUUCUAAUAUCUCACUCACGUGAGUUCAAGCUCCCAAAAUUCAUUACAGUGAAACUCUCACAACAUAAUUGUCUUCAAAUAUUCUCUACUCAACGAAUUAAUUAAAUAUGAUGACAGGAGAAACAAAAUUAAAAUAACCACAAGAAGUAGAAAUAUACUUUUGUUAUAUUCAGAGCAUCUCCUACUGUCUUCAUUUCCCUUAGCUCUGUUUCCUUUUGUGCUCGAACGCAAUGCCUCAAGGCUCAAGAUAAUUUGAUGACCAUCAAUCUUUUUGCAGCCACAUGUAGACUUGAAAAACUGUUGGCGGCCCUAAAGAACUUGAAAAUUAGAAAAGAUUCAGAAUGAGUGACUAAAUAUUAUAAUCGAAACUAAUUAAACAAACGCGCCUUGAAAAUCUGAAACUGAAUUACUCAAAUGUAUAUGCCCCUUCACAGCAAUUGCACGUGGUGGAUGUU
rnacentral:lncRNA from 1 species